rnacentral:rRNA from 4 species
UGACCUCAGAUCAGGCCAGAUUACC